CGACAUGUUGCGGCUAAUAACCUUCAUCAGAGUCCUCCUAUACUACGAUCAAUUAGUCAUUUUAUAUGGUCACCUGAUUAGGUCAGAAAUAAGAGAGGAAAUUUAAAUCAUUAAUAUCAAAAUAUCAGAAUAUAUAACAUCAAAAUAUAUUUAAAUCAAACACUGAAUAUAUCCUAAAUCAACAACGUAAUAAUAUAACAUCAAAAUUUAAAUCACACAUAAUAUAACCAAAAACAACAAUGUAUUUAAGAAACAAAGUGAAUCACACACAUUCACACAAAGAGAGAGAGAGAGAGAGAGAGAGAGAGAGAGAGAGAGGAGGAGGAGGAGGAGGAGGAGGAGGAGGAAGAGGAGGAGGAGGAGAAGAAGAAGAAGAAGAAGAAGAUGUAAACCUUAACCAUUUUAGCUUAACUAGAACGAAACGCCCACAGAAUGCAAUUCUGGGUUCGAAGUCGAAUUCAGAAAAUAAAAAUGUACAUUAGGCAUUCUUGUCGGCGAAUGUUACGAAUUCCUUUUACUUCUAAAGCUGGCCUACCGUUUCGCUCCUAUUGCGUAUAUAUCACAUUAAACUCGAAACUACAUAGCCUAAGGGAGUAAACUGGGUUGUAAUCGACAUUAAAUCUCUCCUAACAAAACCGUGGUAAAAUAAAGACAUAAACUCUUUCAAAUCAUUCUCAGGGUGUAUUUGCCGUUUUGCAACAUUUCCUCUUCAAAGGGAAUGUCUAUUUUGCUGACAGUGAACGUCGUGAGCAGCAGGAGAGCCGAUAGAAGUUUAGCUUCUGUUCAGAGCCUCUACACAGUGUGGGAGUUUGAGUCCCUAACCUAAACACCCCGUGACAAAUGUGGGGUGGAGCGUAAAUCGCUGCCGUCAUUUUUAUUAUUAUUAUUAUUAUUUUUUUUUUUUUAAUUACCUUUCAGAUGUAUUUAAAUAUAAAAUAUUUUAUAAUCAAUAAUAACAUUAAACAUAGGCUAUUUCAUGUUUCCUCCAAACAAUUUUUUCUUGAGUAUCAAUGUUGGAAAGGCGGGACUUAGCUCACCUGUCAAUCAUCAUCUAUGACGCAGCCGAAUGAAGCAAGAGACAAACUUGACUGAGACUGGGAGAAAUAACCUCAAUUUUUGUGUUAUUGUGUGCGUCUAUGACUGAUUGCCUAUCCCUAGACAUAAACAGAGCUGAGGAAACCCUGGCCCGAACACUAUACAACUGCUCUCAGAUCAGCCAAGAAACCACUGAAGAAACCACAUCUGAGCUCCAUCAGUAAAUGAACUGAACUUUACUGUAGUUUGGUUCUGUUUGUGCCUGUUGUGUCUCUACAUGCCUUUUGAUGCCAUUUUAUGAUUUAAAUAUCCAGUCUCAUUGUUUCUGAUGGUUUAAAUCAACAUCAGUGUUACAAAAUAAACACAAAGGCCUACUGGAAAUAAUUAAAGCUAUUUACAAAAGCCAAAAAAACUUCAGAAGACCUCACAGUACAAAAUAAUUCGAAUUACAAUGAAGAACAACACUGAUGUCUGUUUGAACGCUGUCAGCGCUCAUUAGUUGAAGGAAAGAGUCUUCUUUUCUCAUAGUUGAUUAUGUUUGUGAUUCCACUGAAUCCAGCUGACUUUCCUCCAGAUCAUCAGUCUUUAGGAGAGGUUUCAUUUCAUGCGAAUCUGCUGUGUUCCGGUUCUGGUUUGAUCCAUUGGCUGGAGUUUCAUCAGACCCUGCUGCAUUCUGGAUUUAGAAUAAAGGUGCGAUCCUAUUACGUUGUUUAGUGAAUUUCCCCAGGCGAAAUCCACUAAUAUCUAAAGUAGUGAUUCUCAGUCCUGGUCCUGGAGCCUCCAACAUUUCAGUUUUACAAGUUGAAAGAAAUGUGUUUUCAAGCUCAUGUGACUUGUUGCCGCUAGUUCAAGCAUGUAGACACCAUACGUAGUCAAAGCUAUUGCACACUUUGGGUGCAUCUCAAUCAGCUCUCUAGUUCAGUAGACAGUUAGGGCACGAGUCAGCCAGUAUAAGAGCUGUCUCAAUCUCAAAAUCCUUCCAGUGCAUUGGAAUGUUUGCACCCUAAAAAAAAAAAAUCCCACAAUUCACAGCAAAAACCAGCUGAUUGAGAUGCACCUUUUGUUUAUUCCAUUGAGGGAGUUCUGGGUACUCAUAGUGCACUAUGUUUUUAACUGUUUUUAACACCUACUCUGUUUUUAACUGUUAUCACACUACUUAUACUACAUAAUGGCCUGAAGUAUUGCAGAUAUGCAAAUAGUAUAGUCUUAAAAUUUGGGGUGGUUAACUUUACCAUGUAGCCCCUGCUGGUAGAUGCUGUAACUACACCAUUCAGAUGUCUAAAAUGGUUUGUGUCAAAUAAAUGAGACAAACACAAUCUGCAGUGCUGAGGUUUUCCAGGAGCAGGACUGAGAAACAAUGAUCUACACAACAUCUGUGUUUUUAAUCAUCAAGCAUUUUAUGAAGUGUUAAAUAUCAUGAAUAUGAUUGACUUGUUUUUAAACAAACACAACAUUAAAUCUGAUACUAACCUGAGAACGCAGAUUCUGUGACCCAGUAGCUAGAGUUUGAGGAGACCUUAAUGCCUUCUGUGUUCAAUGAAAUAUUUUAAACAGAUAUUUUCACAAUCAUAUACUCACUUUAUCUCAGAAACCCAUUGACAGAGCUGUAAAAAGUCAAUUAAAACACCUAGCCAUUUGCUUGGAAACAUUGAGUAUUUUGUAGAGGAAAAAAGUAAAAAAAAAAAUAAAAAAAAUAAAAAAAGUAGAGUACAAAAUUAUUUUGUACUCAGACUUUGUUUUAUUGUACUUUGUCAGUAUAAAAUAAAAAAAGACUUCUGUUAUAUCAGCCAGAGAUGAUGAUAAAAUGACUGAAUGCACUUUAAUAUGAUGUGAAACGUCUCCUGAUAUUGCAAUUUAUUAAAUACGAUUAACAUUAAAUGUAGCACUGUAUCAUAUUUAAUGUAAAUCAUAUUUAAUAAUGAUACUAACCUUGCAUGAUUGCAGACACAUUUUCAUCCCUGUGUGUUUAAAAAAGUUGAAGGAUAUUAUUUAAAAGCUGAUCAGAUUAGACAAAACAUUACUUCACCUUCAUUCAUUACUUCAUUCAAAUGCUAUUGACUAAAGUUCAGUUUGUACUCACAAGGUUCAAAUACCAGUAAACUUAUUAGAAAUAAAGUAAAGAGGAUUUCAAAGGAAAAGACGACGACUCUCAGAUCUCCAACUGCUCCAUCACCAUUAGCUGAGAAUGAACAAUAGUAUUUUAUUUACAAUAGACACUUGUAUUUACAUAUUAUGCCCAAUUAACAGCAUGAACAGCAGAUUAUAAGGCUUUAUUGUAGUAUUAUUGCUCUAAGUCAAUAUAGAAAUGAGAAUAUUUUGAUCAGAAUAACUUGAAGCUGAUUUCUGCCCCACAGUAAGAUAUUACCCAGAUAGCAAGCAACCAUUGAAACAAUAUUAAAUCAAUGUUAAUGUGUCAAUGUUAACCACACUGAAUCAACAUCACUUUUGUACCUGCAAUUUAUUUUGGAAAAAUGUUGAAAUUUCAUCCAAAAAUCAAUGGUAAUGGCGUUGAAUCAAUGUUACAAUGUGAUGUUGGUUCAAUAGCAUGCUUGCACUCUCAGAAAAUGAAACACAACAACUACAGCUGACUUAAAGCCACACAGCCUGAAAUCAACUAAAUAAAGGCAAUAAAUCUCUCAAGAUCUCAGCAGAGAAUGAUUAAACAACUCCAAAAAGAGCAGCUUCACUUAUUACUAACCAGUUUGACUUUAUGUCAUUCAUCAGAUGUUAAUGUCUUAUUUAAAAUGUUUCGUCACCAUUAUGGUUAUCAGUGUUUCCUUUAGUUGGGCAGUUUGACUCUUGGCUUUUUAUGUGAGUUUGUGGUCUUUGUAACAGUGCUUACCCAAACAUAUAAUUUGUUGCAAAGAAAGCCAGAAACAAAGAUGAUCAGGUGAUAUGGUUUUCAGCAUCAUAAAGUAGAAUAAUUCACUAAUCUUAUCCCUGACCAAAAGUGGUUAUUUGUUAUUAAUAAAUUCUAUUCAUUAAAAAUACUUCCUUUCGACAGAUUAGACAUUCUGAAUUUUGAUUUUUAAAAUACAUUAUCUGAAAAAAUUUUUAGACACACGCAGACAUCAAGAAUCAGCUUAUGAAUCUCAACAAUGGUUCAUGCCGCUGAGAGCCACCAUAGUAUAAAACUCAUGGCUCCCAGCAUGCACUGUGGCAUGAUAAUCACUGGUAAAAACUGUUACAAAUACCACAAACUCACAUAAAAAGCCAAGAGUCAGACUACCCAAUUAAAGGAAACACUGAUCACCAUAAUGGUGACCAAACAUUAUCAAUAAAAAAAUUAACAUCUAAAUCUGUUAAUUCUCAAAAAGAAUGUCUGAUGUGAUCUUGAGAGAUUAAUUGUCUUCUUUUAUUUUCAGUUGAUUUCAGGCUGUGUGGCUUUAAGUCAGCUUCAGGUGUAGUCAGUUGUUGUGUUUCAUUUUCUAAGAGUGCAAACAUGAUGUUGAACCAACAUCACAUUGUAACAUUGAUUCAAUGCCAUUACCAUUGAUUUUUGGAUGAAAUUUCAACAUUUUUUCGAUAUUUAUUGCGAGCGCAAAAGUGAUGUUGAUUCAAUGCAGUUAACGUUCACACAUUAACAUCGAUUUAACAUUGUUUCGAUGGUUGCUUGCUAUCUUGGUACCUAUACUAACGUGAUGCAUUAGCUUCUAUGUAUUUACCAAAGAUUUACUGUGAAUUUAUUAACGGAAUCAGUCACUGUAUGAUGUUCAGGUGUUGUGUUCACUCAACUGUUUUUAGUAUCAGUUCAGUCAUCAGUGUAACAGAGUUCAGUAAAACAACACCAACUGAUCCAAACACAAAUCUGUAAGAUCAAAUAAAAGUUUGACUACUGGAAAUGCUUUA